rnacentral:lncRNA from 1 species
AUCGUCGUCACAAAAGCUUGCAGAGCCCUCUAACGAGACGUUUCCUAUCGAAGUCGGAGUACGCAGGGUUUGCAUUUUAUAAUCAAAGUUAUUAGAAAGGUGGACACAAAUAAUUGAAGAAAAUAUCAAAAAUCGACUGUCAGAUCAAUUAAGUUGUCAGUUAUUUCAAAGAAAAGGCCUUAUAAUAAUUAUUAUUCAAAAAUCUUUCUAAGAAGCAAUGUUUUUCCACUGUUGUUUGAUUUUUCUGGAUAUAAUAAAAUAAUUGUUUAGGAAAAGAACGUGCAGAGUGAAGAAAAGUUAAGAUGGCCACUGUAAAACAUGAUGAUAUAAAGUCACUGGAAAAUGUGGUUAAAAAAAGGAAAACCACUCAUUUCUGUGGUAAUUCUGACCUUAAAAAUGAAGAUAAAGCUCAUUUAUCAAAAGAAGAAAAGUCUACAAUGGUGAGUACAAAAUCAUCAGCUUCACAAAAGAAAAAUAAGUCAGUUACUUCGGGAUCGAACCCAGUUUCUCAGAAAGAUGGAGCUGGAUCAGGUUUGUAAUUAACCUUGAACAUUUGAAAUUUUCUUUUAUAUCUUAUAUUUAAAAAAUAUUUAAUUUUUAUUUAAAUAAUUUAGAAUAUGCAGAUGCAUUAUACGCAUCUGCACAUUAAGCAGGAGUUGUGAGUUUGAGUAUAGCUCUGGGCCAAUUCUUUUCUUCCAAAAUAUUUUAAUUAAAUUAUUUAAUUUAAUUGUAAUUAUUAAAUUUAAUAAGAGCAUCCAACACCUCCCUCUAGUUACAAAUUAUUUAUAAAUUAAUUAAAAAUAAUUGCAGAAAAGUAGCCCGAUUUUAAUUUGGUAGUUGUUUGGCUUGUGAAUAAACACACACUUCCUUACUACAUAGGAAUAUUUGAAUAUUAUGUGUAAAAUUAGAUAAAAUAUAAUUAAUUGACUUAUUGUUUCAAUUUAGACCAACUAAUUUAUAAGUUAUGAUCAUACAUGUUAUGGUUAUAUUUUCUAAAUUAAUUGGCCUAGCAAUGGACAUUGGAUGGAGAUCUGGGUAAUGUAAUUAGUAACACAUCUGUAAGUAAAAGGAAUUGUGGGUUUGAGUCCUGUUCUGGACUAGUUUUUUUCUAGAAUAUUUUAUAAAUUAAUUAAUGUAUUUUUAAUUAUUAAAUUCAAUACGAGAUGGCUGCUUAACCCAUCUACCUUUAGUCCAAAUUACAUGAUGUCUCUAUAAUUUUAAUUAAAAUGGCUGAUGGUAUUUUUUAAAAAAUUAAAAAUUUGAAGAAACUAAGUCGUCUUCAUUUCCACCAUGUCCAAUCAUCAGAAAACAGUAAGUCUUUCUUUAUAAUUAAUUUACUGUAUUAUAUUGGAUUGUUCGGAAAGUAAUUUCGUUUUUUUUUUCUGUGUCAAACACACUAUUUUUAUAAUAAAUAAAUAUUUUAUUGAAUUAUAUAUUGACCAUUUUGAUCAACUACCUGUUGCCUUGUUUCUGUUAGUAGCAUGUUUCUACGUUUAUAAAAGUUUUGAUGUUUGCUUACAAAAAAGAACGGAUUCAAGUAAUUUUUGACAUUUUCAUUUCAAGUAAACGUCUUACAGUUUAAAAAAUUUUGUAAAGACCAGAACAAGUAAUAAUCUGAGGGUGCCUGAUCUGGCGAAUAUUGUUGGUUUGAUAGCACAUCCCAUCUAAGCUGUAACAGUUUCUGACGAGUUACCAUACUUGUCUGAAAUUUGGCAUUAAUUACAUUACACCUGUUUUGUUGAUAAAUUCUGGCCUUUUCUGUUUGAUGAUAUUACUCAAUUUGUUUACUCGAUGGCAGUACACUUUUGAUUGUAUCAAUUGUUAAAU